CAGUCGCCGCGGUAAAACGAGGGGGGCAAGCGUUGUUCGGAAUUAUUGGGCGUAAAGGGUGCGUAGGCGGUUUAGCAAGUCUUGUGUGAAAUCCUCGGGCUCAACCCGAAGCCUGCACGAGAAACUGCCGGGCUUGAGUAUUGGAGAGGUGAGUGGAAUUUCCGGUGUAGCGGUGAAAUGCAUAGAUAUGUCACAGAACACCAAUUGCGAAGGCAGCUUACUAUGGUUUUAUUGACACUGAGGCACGAAAGCGUGGGGAUCAAACAGGAUUAGAGACCCCAGUAGUCCCUGUCUCUUAUAC
rnacentral:rRNA from 1 species